AAUACCCACCCCACCCGUUUCAACCCAACUAUAUUCUCCAUUUUCUCAAUCGUCUUCCUCCCGAUUCAGUAAUUACACACUUCAUAAACUGAAAUGGAAGUCGUCGGAGAGAUAUCCGAUCGACUUUUCACUUUGAUCCUUAGACGACCCUUUAUCCUGCUCCUCAGCACCAAAACAACUUACAACAUCACAAAGCUUUUCAGAUCAAAUGAGAUAUUUCUAGGCUCUAAUUGUUCCGACGAAAUAUCGUCUUUCAUUUGCAUAAUGAAGAGAUUUAAUCUCACAUGAUCGAGCUACAUCUGAACAUUAACUAAUGAAUACAGCUGUAGAAAAACACAAGAAGCAUGGGAGUUUUGCAUGCAGAGAAAUUUCAAGGCUUAGAAACUUUUCUAUGAAUCGACAAAGACAUAUAUGAGAAAGAUAAGUAUUGCUUUAUCUCAAAACUAUAGAUCUGUAGCUAAAAGUUUAACUUCUAGAGUUUGAAUCCGUAAGAAAUAUUUUUUUUUUGUCUUUUACGAACCUAUUAGGAAAAGUCUAAAAAACAAACAGGAGAGAUUAAAAUUUGUAAAAUUUAAACCCUAAUUUGAUCAAUUACUAAAUUGAUAAAAGUUUGUUAUUUAACAACCUUCCAAUUUAUUAAAAUACUUUUUUAUCAUAUGUGAUAGUUGAAUGUUGCAGGGUAUAAGUUUCAAUUUAUUAAGUCUCUAAUUGUUUGUUAUUUCACAGACUACACAUAUAGUAUGCAAAUUUUGUAAAGAUGUGGUAGUUGAAUUUUUCAGUGCAUAAAUCUGUGAGGUAUAUUCAUUAUCCUAUUACAAUUGUCUGGACUUUUACUUCAAGGUUCAAAUUGAUUUCAAUCCUGCUGGAUGUUUCUUCCCAUUAAUAUUGCAAAUGGGUAUGUCAAAAAUGCCGAAGGCAGGUUGGAUUAAAUGAAAUAGGAAUUCAACAUUUCGCAGGUUUCAACUUAUUUCAACACUCUGUGAUAAAUAGAAGGUCAAAUAUGUGAUUGCAUUCAACAAAUCCAACUGGAAGGUCCAAAAAUUCUCAAUAAGGUUAUGGAUGAAAGGAUUUUUGGAUGUUUAGUUUAGUCAGCUCCAGCAACAUCAGGGUGAAAGCAACCCUACUUUUGUAGCCGAAGUUGUGACUCUCUUCUUUGAAGAUUUUGAAAGACUACUCAAUGAUCUUAACACAGCUCUGUAAGUCCCCUUCACCACCCUACACAUCAAUAUAUAAAUAUAUUGAUAAGUGCCAAAGAUAACUAGGCUAAGGGUCUUGAUUGGGGUGAAUUAGGAAUGAAUUUGUAUCCUUAUGUGAAUUAUUGAUGGCAUUUCUAUGCUCUAAUGUGUCAAUCAAUUGCAAAGUCCGCUUUUGGCACACUUGGAAUGAUUUUGUAGGUUUUUGGAAGCGUAAACGAGAAGCAUGUGGACUUGGCGAGAGAACAAAGAAAAGGAGAAGAGGCCGGAGGCAAAGUAGACUAUUCCACGCAUGGACACGAUGUGGAAUAUAUUCAGCAACUUCCACGCUGCUACUCCAAGCGUAGACUAGGCGUGGAUUGGCUAAUCCGAGGCUAAGUGAUCAAGGGCAAUUUUGGGAAGCUAUUUAAGGUCUAGUUUAGAAAGUUUUUGAGGGGAGUUCUUGAUUAUUACAUUUUAUCACUUAGAAAUCUUAGAGAGAAGGUAGAGCUCAUCUUAGAUUGUAUAGAGAGACAAUUUACAUUUCCUUGUAAUCUUUGUGAAGAAAGAUCUACAUUGAAGCCUUGAUUUGGAUUCUAUUUGAUCUUGUUUAGAUUAAUCUCUAUUUCUACCUUU